rnacentral:rRNA from 1 species
UACAGAGGUCUCAACCGUUGUUCGGAUUCAUUGGGCGUAAAGCGCACGUAGGCGGCUUCUUAAGUCAGGGGUGAAAUCCUGGAGCUCAACUCCAGAACUGCCUUUGAUACUGAGAAGCUUGAGUCCGGGAGAGGUGAGUGGAACUGCGAGUGUAGAGGUGAAAUUCGUAGAUAUUCGCGAGAACACCAGUGGCGAAGGCGGCUCACUGGCCCGGUACUGACGCUGAGGUGCGAAAGCGUGGGGAGCAAACAGG